rnacentral:rRNA from 1 species
AGGCAGCAGUAGGGAAUCUUCCACAAUGGGCGAAAGCCUGAUGGAGCAACGCCGCGUGUGUGAUGAAGGGUUUCGGCUCGUAAAACACUGUUGUAAGAGAAGAAUGACAUUGAGAGUAACUGUUCAAUGUGUGACGGUAUCUUACCAGAAAGGAACGGCUAAAUACGUGCCAGCAGCCGCGGUAA